CCUACGGGUGGCAGCAGUGGGGAAUAUUGCGCAAUGGGCGAAAGCCUGACGCCGCGACGCCGCGUGAGGGAUGAAGGUCUUCGGAUCGUAAACCUCUGUCAGCAGGGAAGAACGGUCACUGUGCUAAUCAGCAGUGAAUUGACGGUACCUGCAAAGGAAGCACCGGCUAACUCCGUGCCAGCAGCCGCGGUAAUACGGAGGGUGCGAGCGUUAAUCGGAAUUACUGGGCGUAAAGCGCACGUAGGCUGUAGGUCAAGUCAAUGGUGAAAUCCCACGGCUCAACCGUGGAACUGCCUUUGAAACUGGCAAACUGGAGUAUGUGAGAGGGUGGCGGAAUUCCUGGUGUAGGAGUGAAAUCCGUAGAUAUCAGGAGGAACAUCAGUGGCGAAGGCGGCCGCCUGGCACAAAACUGACGCUGAGGUGCGAAAGCGUGGGUAGCAAACAGGAUUAGAUACCCCAGUAGUC
rnacentral:rRNA from 1 species